rnacentral:misc_RNA from 1 species
UCCGGGUUGGACCCGGCGGUCCCGCCAGACAUGGUAACUGGCAGCGAGGGUUGCGCUCGUUGCGGGACUUAACCUGACACCUCACGGCACGAGCUGACGACAACCAUGCAGCACCUUGUAAGUUGUCCGAAGAAAAAACUGUUUCCAGUCCUGUCAACCUACAUUUAAGCCCUGGUAAGGUUCCUCGCGUAUCAUCGAAUUAAACCACAUGCUCCACCGCUUGUGCGGGCCCCCGUCAAUUCCUUUGAGUUUCAAACUUGCGUUCGUACUCCCCAGGUGGGAUACUUAUCACUUUCGCUUAGCCACUCAGUCUUGCAACCGAACAGCUAGUAUCCAUCGUUUACGGCGUGGACUAC